AAACGCUGUUGUUCAGUUGGUUAGAACGCCGGGAGUGGCGACCCGGAGGUCGCAGGUUCGAGUCCUGCCGCG
rnacentral:tRNA from 1 species